GAUGAACGCUGGCGGCGUGCUUAACACAUGCAAGUCGAACGAAGCAUUUAGGACAGAUUACUUCGGUUUGAAGUUCUUUAUGACUGAGUGGCGGACGGGUGAGUAACGCGUGGGUAACCUGCCUUGUACUGGGGGAUAGCAGCUGGAAACGGCUGGUAAUACCGCAUAAGCGCACAAUGUUGCAUGACAUGGUGUGAAAAACUCCGGUGGUAUAAGAUGGACCCGCGUCUGAUUAGCUAGUUGGUGAGAUAACAGCCCACCAAGGCGACGAUCAGUAGCCGACCUGAGAGGGUGACCGGCCACAUUGGGACUGAGACACGGCCCAGACUCCUACGGGAGUCAGCAGUGGGGAAUAUUGCACAAUGGAGGAAACUCUGAUGCAGCGACGCCGCGUGAGUGAAGAAGUAAUUCGUUAUGUAAAGCUCUAUCAGAAGGGAAGAUAGUGACGGUACCUGACUAAGAAGCUCCGGCUAAAUACGUG
rnacentral:rRNA from 1 species